rnacentral:sRNA from 1 species
ACAGCUUUGUUUACUGCCGGAGGGGUUGAAUUUGGCGUCUCGCUCUCACUCAGUCUGCAUGCUGGCGCAUCCAGGUUAUCUAUUUGAUGUCCACUCAGUCACGCUUGUUUACUAGAUCGAAGAUGGCUAGUCCAUCUGGCAAGGAUUGACAUCAGUGCACUGUGAUAUAGAUCAAGGUUACCAUCAAAGUGCAUGGGAGCUCCGAACAAAAUGUUUCACCACGCCAUGUCUUUCCCCAUUGUCAAACCGAAUCUCAACGAUCAAUUACACCACUCCCAUACAACAAACAUACGGGAGGAGCGUUGCUCAAUCUUCCUCUCUCUCACCCUGCUCAGUUAAUCCCGUGGAGCCAGAACACCUAUCCCGGAUCGACUUUGUUUCAGCCAAGAACCCAGCCCCGGGCCCGGGCCCGCCCUUUACGAUUUGAAUUGAAGAAAUAGACCUCUGUCCGUGGUUCCUGAUCUCAUAUAUCUCUUUUUUCCGCCAGGUUUUUACUUCCUAAGUAGGGGGGUCCAUGGAUGUGGAGAUUGAUCUACGUUCAUUUCAUAAUCUAUGUAGGAGCGUCGAGAACGGGAGAAAACGGGGAAGGGGGAUGUAUGUAUGUAUAUAUAUAUAUAUAAUGAAAUCAGAGUAAUGAGCCGUUUCCCACAUAUUGCAGUUAUCAACUCGGCUGCGAUUUCGCAGGUGGAAAGAGAAAGAGAGGGGAGAGAAAGAAGGGGGAAGGGAGAAGGGGAUCUUACAACAGUCAUUAAGUAGAGAGAGCGUUUUGGCCAGCCAAAAGGAGGAAAAAUAUCAAAAAUAUAUAUAUCAAAGCGUUCGCUGGCCGGAGGCGUUGGAAUGCAAUACGUCAAUUGACCAAGGCAAAACCAGGUGUUUAAAACCAUUGGUUAACGAGUAAACUAACCUACCAUCAUGGGAGAAAUACGAACCACAUACAUAAGCUCGCGACUGGGACG